AUGAGCCUGCCCUACCAGGCAGGCCCUGGAGGGGUUGACCCUCAUGGCAGAGGACUAUUGGACUGACACUGAUCUAAAGUUGUUAGCUACCUCUUAGAUGUCAAUCCCAGCGUCUUUCCUCAGCUCCUCCAGCGCUGGGUCUCUUAGGCAAGCAUCAGUCACUGUCUGUCACUCCUCUUCAGUCGCUCCCCUCUCUAUGCAAACUGUUUCCAAUUUUCCUUCAGCUUUCCUGGUCAUUUUCUCCUUCCUUUCUUGCUCCCCCCUUCCCUCUCCCAACUCCUCUUUCCUCUUGAAAAAUUCAAUUCAUCUGCUGUCCUGCGGCUGCUUAUUUUGUGCUAAAUUCUAUAGCAAGAGCUGGGAGUAUAAAAGCCACGGCCCUGGCUUUUGAGGGGCUGAAGUUCAAAGAAAAACCAUCAGCGAAAGAACACGAUACAAUACGAGGAGCGCUGUCAUGACUUGGAUACCCGUGGUCUAAAGGAAGCACAGGGGGACGAAUGGCUGAUCUCGGCAUUGAUGGGGUGUUCCCAGAUCUGGUCCCACAUUCCCAACAGCCUUCUAGAAACUGCUACCAAAUGGAACUCAUCUGCUCUUCUUGGAGAAACGCCAUCCUCCUGUGUUCCUUCGGCCAUCCCAAUCUUGCUAUAUAAGUCAAGAUGGAUUCUGACUUGUGAUCCUCCUGUCUCGGCUCCUUGAGCAGUAGUAUUGCAGUCAUCCACUACCACAUCCAGCAAGACUAAUCAUGUUCAAAGUGAAGUCCAAGGACUUCCUACCCCAGAAACACCAGAGGUGGCUUUCAAGAACAUGACAUUAGAGCAAGUGCACAAUCUCAAAGGAUUAGGGACCUCGGGUCAUGACACACAGGAAGCCGCCUUGCCCAAUCCACUUGUACUUCGAGGAGCAGCAAGCCAGUCAGCUAUACGGAGCAGGUCUGGGAUGCUGAUCUCAGCAUACAGCACUGCCAGGAUUGGCUGUGGGAGAGACAAGGACAAACUAGAAGGACUUGGAGGCUAAGGCUGGGAAUGCAGGAAUGAACAUGACACCCCAAAAUCCAUGCCCACAAAAUGGUCCUGCCCAGACAUCACAGAGCUGUUAGGUAAUAAUGGUGACAAUAGAACUAGAUAGUUCUUCUGGCUCUGGACUGGGGUGACCCCUUAGUACCAGGCAAAGACAUUUGAAUCUAAUUCAAUAAAGCAGCAGUGAGAGAGUGAAUAUUUCUGGAAGGAAUACAAGUUGAGACAGAUACAACACUGGGAAGGGAUGAUUGGGAAACACAAACUUUAAUGUUUUAAGUCUGAGUAGGAAGUUGGUAUAUCAUCAAAAGUGACAUCAGACCCUUUUUCUACUUCUGUGUAUGUGACAGUCACCC
rnacentral:lncRNA from 1 species